AUUGAACGCUGGCGGCGUGCUUAACACAUGCAAGUCGAUCGGUAACAGGUGUAGCAAUACAUGCUGACGAGAGGCGGACGGGUGAGUAAUGCUUGGGAAUCUGCCUAUUAGUGGGGGACAACCCGGGGAAACUCGGGCUAAUACCGCAUACGCUCUACGGAGGAAAGCCGGGGACCGCAAGGCCUGGCGCUAAUAGAUGAGCCCAAGUCGGAUUAGCUAGUUGGUAGGGUAACGGCCUACCAAGGCGACAAUCCGUAGCUGGUCUGAGAGGACGACCAGCCACACCGGAACUGAGACACGGUCCGGACUCCUACGGGAGGCAGCAGUGGGGAAUAUUGGACAAUGGACGAAAGUCUGAUGCAGCGACGCCGCGUGUGGGAUGACUGCCCUCGGGUU
rnacentral:rRNA from 1 species